UACGUAGGGUGCAAGCGUUGUCCGGAAUUAUUGGGCGUAAAGAGCUCGUAGGCGGUUUGUUGCGUCGGCUGUGAAAUCCCGAGGCUCAACCUCGGGUCUGCAGUCGAUACGAGCAAACUAGAGUGUUGCAGGGGAGACUGGAAUUCCUGGUGUAGCGGUGAAAUGCGCAGAUAUCUGGAGGAACACCGGUGGCGAAGGCGGCAUCCUGGACCAAUACUGACACUGAGGGGCGAAAGCCAGGGGAGCAAACGGG
rnacentral:rRNA from 1 species